rnacentral:lncRNA from 1 species
ACUUUUCAAGCCCCCGUGCUUAAGAGACUAUGUACUAAUAUAAUUUUACUAGGCCCCUAGGAAGGGAUAGUCCGUGGAAAAUAAGGAAGGUUGGGUGCAAGGGAGAAGGGAAAACUACCCUAUAAAGCCAGAGGCCGCCUCAAGGGUCCAUUUGGUCGCCCCGAAAUAUGCCGCGAGACCGUAUGAUUGAGCUCACGCUGUCCACUCCCCC